rnacentral:rRNA from 1 species
UACGUAGGGGGCAAGCGUUGUCCGGAUUUAUUGGGCGUAAAGAGCGUGUAGGCGGCCAUACAGGUCAGCUGUGAAAAACUCGAGGGCUCAACCUCGAGACGUCGGUUGAAACCGUAUGGCUAGAGUCCGGAAGAGGAGAGUGGAAUUCCCGGUGUAGCGGUGAAAUGCGCAGAUAUCGGGAAGAACACCCGUGGCGAAGGCGGCUCUCGUGGGACGGUACUGACGCUGAGACGGCGAAAAGCGUGGGGAGCGAACAGG